rnacentral:rRNA from 1 species
UACAGAGGUCCCGAGCGUUGUUCGGAUUCACUGGGCGUAAAGGGUGCGUAGGCGGCUGGGUAAGUCUGAUGUGAAAUCUCCGGGCCCAACCCGGAAAUGGCAUUAGAAACUACCUGGCUGGAGGCUUGGAGGGGGAACUGGAAUACUUGGUGUAGCAGUGAAAUGCGUAGAUAUCAAGUGGAACACCGGUGGCGAAGGCGGCAUCCUGGACCAACACUGACGCUGAGGCGCGAAAGCUAGGGGAGCAAACGGG